rnacentral:rRNA from 1 species
GACGAACGCUGGCGGCGUGCUUAACACAUGCAAGUCGAACGCGCCUGUCCUCUGGGUUUCUGGGGGGUGGGUGAGUGGCGAACGGGUGAGUAACACGUGAGUAACCUGCCCCCUUCUUCGGGAUAACGGUCUGAAAGGGCUGCUAAUACCGGGUAUUCACUGGUCUCCGCAUGGGGUCUGGUGUAAAGGUUUUUUUCUGGUGGGGGAUGGGCUCGCGGCCUAUCAGCUUGUUGGUGGGGUGAUGGCCCACCAAGGCUUUGACGGGUAGCCGGCCUGAGAGGGUGACCGGUCACAUUGGGACUGAGAUACGGCCCAGACUGCUACGGGAGGCAGCAGUGGGGAAUAUUGCACAAUGGGCGCAAGCCUGAUGCAGCGACGCCGCGUGAGGGAUGGAGGCCUUCGGGUUGUGAACCUCUUUCGCCCGUGGUCAAGCCGCGACGUGGGUCGUGGUGAGGGUAGUGGGUAAAGAAGCGCCGGCUAACUACGUG